rfam:Myotis lucifugus cont2.8713, whole genome shotgun sequence.
GGCAGUUCUCAGGUGAUGCACCCCGGAAUCGGGCUCCCUCCUCUCUGGUUCUGGGGUGCGUCACCCGAGAACCACC